AAACUUUCAACAACGGAUCUCUUGGUUCUGGCAUCGAUGAAGAACGCAGCGAAAUGCGAUAAGUAGUGUGAAUUGCAGAAUUCAGUGAAUCAUCGAAUCUUUGAACGCACAUUGCGCCCCUUGGUAUUCCUUGGGGCAUGCCUGUUCGAGCGUCAUUUG
rnacentral:rRNA from 1 species